UACGUAGGUGGCAAGCGUUGUCCGGAUUUAUUGGGUUUAAAGGGUGCGUAGGUGGUCUAUUAAGUCAGUGCUGAAAUAUCCCGGCUUAACCGGGAGGGAGGCAUUGAUACUGAUGGACUUGAGUAAAGUUGAGGUGGGCGGAAUUGACGGUGUAGCGGUGAAAUGCUUAGAUAUCGUCAAGAACACCUAUUGCGAAGGCAGCUCACUAAGCUUUAACUGACACUGAGGCGCGAAAGUGUGGGGAUCAAACAGG
rnacentral:rRNA from 1 species